rnacentral:tRNA from 1 species
AAUGAAGUGCCUGAUAAAAGGAUUAUUUUGAUAGAAUAAACAAUGUAUAACUUACCUUCAUUA